rnacentral:lncRNA from 1 species
UUAUAUUACCGAGAGGGCCCAGAGAUAUCUCUCCGUCACAUGGAGUGACAAAUCCCAGUCUUGAUCCAUACAAUCCAACAAGCACCUUCCGAUAUACCUGAAGAACACCUUUAUGAUCACCCAGUUACGAGAUGACGGUUGAUGUCCACAAAGUAUUCUUCCGGUACUAGGGAGUGGCAUGAUCUCAUGGUCUAAGGAAAUGAUACUUGACAUAAUAAAAGCAUUAGCAAUU